rnacentral:rRNA from 1 species
GUCGUGAGAUGUCGGGUUAAGUCCCAUAACGAGCGAAACCCCUGUUUCCAGUUGCCAGCGAGUAAUGUCGGGGACUCUGGAAAGACUGCCGGUGUUAAACCGGAGGAAGGUGGGGAUGACGUCAAGUCCUCAUGGCCUUUACGUCCAGGGCUGCACACGUGCUACAAUGGCGUAUACAGAGGGAAGCCAACGCGCGAGCGGGAGCAAAUCUCAAAAAAUACGCCCCAGUUCAGAUCGAAGGCCGCAACUCGCCUUCGUGAAGUUGGAAUCGCUAGUAAUCGCGGGUCAGCAACACCGCGGUGAAUGUGUUCCUGAGCCUUGUACACACCGCCCGUCAAGCCACGAAAAUGCGGGGCGUCCGAAGUCGCUGAGCCAACCGUAAGGGGGCAGGCGCCGACGACGAACUGCGUAAUUGGGACUAAGUCGUAACAAGGGAAACCGUAGGGGAACCUUUU